UGAUGUUAGCGGCGGACGGGUGAGUAACACGUGGGUAACCUGCCUGUAAGACUGGGAUAACUCCGGGAAACCGGGGCUAAUACCGGAUGGUUGUUUGAACCGCAUGGUUCAAACAUAAAAGGUGGCUUCGGCUACCACUUACAGAUGGACCCGCGGCGCAUUAGCUAGUUGGUGAGGUAACGGCUCACCAAGGCAACGAUGCGUAGCCGACCUGAGAGGGUGAUCGGCCACACUGGGACUGAGACACGGCCCAGACUCCUACGGGAGGCAGCAGUAGGGAAUCUUCCGCAAUGGACGAAAGUCUGACGGAGCAACGCCGCGUGAGUGAUGAAGGUUUUCGGAUCGUAAAGCUCUGUUGUUAGGGAAGAACAAGUACCGUUCGAAUAGGGCGGUACCUUGACGGUACCUAACCAGAAAGCCACGGCUAACUACGUGCCAGCAGCCGCGGUAAUACGUAGGUGGCAAGCGUUGUCCGGAAUUAUUGGGCGUAAAGGGCUCGCAGGCGGUUUCUUAAGUCUGAUGUGAAAGCCCCCGGCUCAACCGGGGAGGGUCAUUGGAAACUGGGGAACUUGAGUGCAGAAGAGGAGAGUGGAAUUCCACGUGUAGCGGUGAAAUGCGUAGAGAUGUGGAGGAACACCAGUGGCGAAGGCGACUCUCUGGUCUGUAACUGACGCUGAGGAGCGAAAGCGUGGGGAGCGAACAGGAUUAGAUACCCUGGUAGUCCACGCCGUAAACGAUGAGUGCUAAGUGUUAGGGGGUUUCCGUAGUGCUGCAGCUAACGCAUUAAGCACUCCGCCUGGG
rnacentral:rRNA from 1 species